rnacentral:rRNA from 1 species
GAUGAACGCUGGCGGCGUGCCUAAUACAUGCAAGUCGAGCGAACGGACGAGAAGCUUGCUUCUCUGAUGUUAGCGGCGGACGGGUGAGUAACACGUGGAUAACCUACCUAUAAGACUGGGAUAACUUCGGGAAACCGGAGCCAGUACCGGAUAAUAUUUUGAACCGCAUGGUUCAAAAGUGAAAGACGGUCUUGCUGUCACUUAUAGAUGGAUCCGCGCUGCAUUAGCUAGUUGGUAAGGUAACGGCUUACCAAGGCAACGAUGCAUAGCCGACCUGAGAGGGUGAUCGGCCACACUGGAACUGAGACACGGUCCAGACUCCUACGGGAGGCAGCAGUAGGGAAUCUUCCGCAAUGGGCGAAAGCCUGACGGAGCAACGCCGCGUGAGUGAUGAAGGUCUUCGGGUCGUAAAACUCUGUUAUUAGGGAAGAAAAUAUGUGUAAGUAACUGUGCACAUCUUGACGGUACCUAAUCAGAAAGCCACGGCUAACUACGUG